UUUUCUACGGUAGAUUUCACCAGAGGACAACGGUAUUACUCAUCAUCAGCAGCAGCAACAAUAACAAGAAACAAAUGAGAACCACGCUAGCGGGAAUCGUGGUUUAACUGAAGAUCCACGGAAAAUUUGCCCAGUGUAAUAGCCCCUCAAUAGGGACGGAACAGGCAACAAGGAAGGGGGAGAGGGAGGGAGAAAGGGAAGGAGAGGCGAAAAAAGUAAUUCAGGAAGUAAUGAUUGUUUUCUAAUGACGUGUAGCUGACAAAAUAACACAGGUAAGGCCAAGAACAAUAAAGAAAAAGUUAAAUAGAGACGGAACAGGCAACAAGGAAGGGGGAGGGAGGGAGGGAGGGACGGAGAGGCGAAAAAAGUAAUUCAGGCAGUAAUAUUCGUUUCCUGAUGACGAGAACAGGUGACAAAAUAACACAGGUAAGGCCAAGGACAAUAAAGAAAAAGUUAAAUAGGGAGGGAACAGGAAACAAGGAAGGGUGUGAGGGAGGGAGAGAGGGAAGGAGAGGCGAAAAAAGUAAUUCAGGCAGUGAUAUUAGUUUCCUGAUGACGAGAACAGGUGACAAAACACAGGUAAAGCCAAGUUAAAUACCUGCACCAAAUAGGGACGGAACAGGAAACAGGGAACGGGGAGGAGAGGAAGGUGAUAAAAGUAGUUCGUUAUCCGCUUCCUGAUAACGACAACAGUGACAGAACAACACAAGUAAGGUCAAGGAGAAUAAAGUAAGUUAAGUACCUAUAGAAAAAUAAGGACGGAGGAGGCAACAAGGAAGGGUGAGGGGAAAGGAGAGAGAAGGAGGUAAAAAAUAAAAGCAAUUCAGGAAGAAACGUUUGCUUUCUAAUGACGUUUACAGGUGGCAAAACAACACAGGUAAGGCCAAGGACGAUAAAGAAAAAGUUAAAUACCUACACUGAAAUAGGGAUGGAACCGGAAACAAGAGGAAUGGGAGGGGGAAGGAGAGAGAAGGAGAGGUAAAAAAUAAAAGCAAUUCAGGCAGUAAUGUUCGCUUCCUGAUGACGAGAACAGGUGACAAAACAACACAGGUAAGGCCAAGGAGAAUAAAGAAAAAGUUAAAUACCUACAUUGAAAUAGAGAUGGAACCGGAAACAAGAGGGAGGGAGAAGGGGGAGGAGAGGUGAUUAAAACAAAUAAUUCAGUCAGUAAUGUUCGCUUCCUGAUGACGAGUACAGGUGAAAAAACAACACAGGUAAGGUCAAGAACAAUAAAGAAAGUGAAAACAAAUUAACGAAACGGAACAACAACAAUGGAGGAGGAGGAGGAGGAGGAGGGAGAGGGAAGGCGGCAAUACAGAUAAGUAGUUCAGUCAGUAAUGUUCGCUUCCUGAUGACGUGAACAGGCGACAAAACAACACAGGUAACACCAAGAACAAUAAAGACAACAAAUUAAAGAAACGGAACAAAAACAAUGAAGGAAGAGGAGGAGGAGGGAGAGGGAAGGCGGUAAACAUAUAAGUAAUUCAGGCAGUAAUGUUCGCUUCCUGAUGACGUGAACAGGUGACAAAACAACACAGGUGAGACCAAGAACAAUAAAGACAACAAAUUAAAGAAACGGAACAAAAAACAAUAGACGAUGAGGAGGGAGAGAAGAGAGGCGAUAAAGGUAAUCCAGUCAGUUAUGUUCGCUUCCUGAUGACGAGAACAGGUGACAAAACAACACAGGUAAAGCCAAGAACAAUAAAGACAACAGAUUAACGAAACGAAGUGAAAAAAAAUGAAGGAGUGAGGGAGGAGAGGAGGGGAGGCGAUAAAGGUAAUUCAUCCACUUAUGUUCGCUUCAUGAUGACGAGCACAGGUGACGAAAUAACACAGGUAAGGCAAAAGCUAAUAAUCACACCUAAGACACGUGGGAUAAAGCUAAAUAAAACUGAGUGACAUAAUCAUCAAAUGUGGCAAUGUGUGUUUUAUCCUAGUGGCCGCCUGCGUGAGUAAGUGGGUGAUGCAUUUCCUUCCUUCCGCAGCGACAUAGUCAUUGUUUGUGAAGGCCACGCAUUUACUACGACUUAACGAGGCCGAGUAAACAGAAAUUAAACAGAAAUCACGUGACGUCCCUUGCAUAAUAACAAAGAAACCUACCCAGACCUAACCUUCUUUUGAUCCUGGUAAGCAGUGGGUGUUAGGAAAGGCGGGGCGGGGCGAGAAGUGGAGAAAGGAACAGAAAUGGAGUUGAAUGGAAAAAGGAGAGAUGGAUGGCAGGGGUAAAGUGAUGAGAGGGAAAGUAAAAUAAAAUGUGAAGGAAAAAGGAAAAUAAGUUGAAGGGAAUGAGAAAAGUGAGGUGAUGGAUGGAAGGGGUGAAGUGGUGAGAUGGGAAAUGAGAUGGAAGAUAUGAAAAAAAAAGUGGGACAGAGUGAAAUGAAGAGGUGGAAAAAAAGAAAAAUGGAAAAAGAUGAAGGAAAUGAAAAGUGGAGUGAAAUGGAUGGAUGGAUGGGGUGAAGGGGUGAGACAGCCACCGCUGAAAGCCGUGUGCUCUGCUUCCCCGGGGACCCAAGAAAAUGUGGCGCUGCAGCGCAGACUCGUUAAGUGUAUUUUCAUUGUCGCUGUCCUCGUCUCCCUGUCUGUCUUGUGCGUCUUCAAUGUUUGUCUUUCUUGUUACUCGUUUAUCUUUGUCCAUGUCCUCCUGUUGUCCAAUUCUACACAAUGUUUACUAUACACACCAACACAUAAAUGCUACCUACACAGUUCAACAUUUACACACACGCAUAUACACAUAAACAUGUUUCCUAUGAGUCUCGUUUGUGCCCAUGACCUGUGUAUGUUUUUUUUUAUGAAUAAAGUAACCCUGACGGAUAUGACUUUUCUCUACCGUGAACCAAUUAGCACUCGGAACACUCACUAACGGCACCAACAAAGAUGGGAAAUGAGAUGGAAAUGAAAAAAAGGUGAGUGAAAUGAGGCGAAGUGAAGUAAAAUGAAAAGAGAUUAUGGGAAGGAAGAAUAGUGCAGUGAGAUGGAUGGAUGGAUGGAUGGGAUUAAGUGGUGAGAUGGAAGUUGUGAAAUGAGAUGGAGAAGAAGUGAAAAAAAAAGUGGGACAAUGAAAUAAAGUGAUGGAAAAAAAGGAAAAUGAAAAGAGAUAAAGGAACUGAAGUGAAGUAAAUUGAAAUGGAUUGAAGGGGCGAAGUGGUGAGAUGGGCGUUGUGAAAUGAGUUAGGAGAUGUGGAAAGAAAAAGUUGGACGGAAACGGAAGUGAAGCGAGACGGCAAAAGUAUAUUGAAAUGAAGGACGGGAAAUUACGAAAAGCGAAGAAAGUUGACGAAAAAAAACAAAAUGAAGGAGAAUGAAGCAACAGGAAGCCAAGUCAGACAGCCACGUAUAUCAACUUAUCGAGUUCAAACAUUAUCAAAAUAAAAAGAUAAAACACGCAAAAAAUACCUUCCUAUCUGAUAAAGUGUGACCCCAUAUUUAGACGAGCCGGAUGCACGCGUGGGACCCGAUGUAAGAUUACUGCUGGUGCCACAUUGAUCAUUACCCUCACUUAUAGUUAUAGUUACUGGUCGGUAUUCUCAACGCUUACUUAAAUUGUUUCCAAAAGCCGAAUAGGAGAGUAACUGGGUUCUAAACUUCUAAUGAGUUGUUUUUGUAUGCUAAAAGGAGAGUAACUGGAUUUUAACGAGUUUUUUUGUAUGCUAAAAGGAGAGUAACUGGGUUCUAAUGAGUUUUUUUUUUUGUAUGCUAAAAGGAGAGUAACUGGGUUCUAACGAGUUUUUUUGUAUGCUAAAAGGAAAGUAACUGGGUUCUAUUGAGUUUUUUUUUGUAUGCUAAAAGGAGAGUAACUGGGUUCUAACGAGUUUUUUUGUAUGCUAAAAGGAGAGUAACUGGGUUCUAAUGAUUUUUUUUGUAUGCUGAAAGGAGAGUAACUGGGUUCUAAUGAGUUUUUUUGUAUGCUAAAAGGAGAGUAACUGGGUUCUAAUGAGUUUUUUUGUAUGCUAAAAGGAGAGUAACUGGGUUCUAAUGAGUUUUUUUGUAUGCUAAAAGGAGAGUAACUGGGUUCUAACGAUUUUUUUUUGUAUGCUAAAAGGAGAGUAACUGGGUUCUAAUGAGUUUUUUUGUAUGCUAAAAGGAGAGUAACUGGGUUCUAAUGAGUUUUUUUGUAUGCUAAAAGGAGAGUAACUGGGUUCUAACGAUUUUUUUUUGUAUGCUAAAAGGAGAGUAACUGGGUUCUAAUGAGUUUUUUUGUAUGCUAAAAGGAGAGUAACUGGGUUCUAAUGAGUUUUUUUGUAUGCUAAAAGGAGAGUAACUGGGUUCUAACGAUUUUUUUUUGUAUGCUAAAAGGAGAGUAACUGGGUUCUAACGAUUUUUUUUUGUAUGCUAAAAGGAGAGUAACUGGGUUCUAACGAUUUUUUUUUGUAUGCUAAAAGGAGAGUAACUGGGUUCUAAUGAGUUUUUUUGUAUGCUAAAAGGAGAGUAACUGGGUUCUAACGAUUUUUUUUUGUAUGCUAAAAGGAGAGUAACUGGGUUCUAAUGAGUUUUUUUGUAUGCUAAAAGGAGAGUAACUGGGUUCUAAUGAGUUUUUUUGUAUGCUAAAAGGAGAGUAACUGGGUUCUAAUGAGUUUUUUUUUGUAUGCUAAAAGGAGAGUAACUGGGUUUUAACGAGUUUUUUUUGUAGGCUCAUGGUCCAAAGGAACGAUUAAACUAUCAGAAGGGUCAUGAAACUACCUCUGUAAAUGCCCAGAACUCCUACGGUACGAAAGCCUUGUCAAAUGUGUGUGCUUGGUCGCCCAAAUGUUUAACCCCUUGACUGCGGAUUUCCUAGCAGAAGACCUCACUAAGCUACAGGAGUGGAAUAAAACGUGUCUGCUACAAUUCAAUGAAGAAAAAUGUUAAGACCUGCAGCUUGGGAGGGGAUAUCCAACAUACCAAUACCACAUGGGAAACACUCCACUAUCCACCACAGGGGCAGAGAAAGACUUGGGACGGUUUAUUACCAGGCCACCAGUGAAAGCCAAAUCCGUGCCAAUCGCAGCGGACAGGUUAAGAAUAUGGUCCAUCGUCUCUCCAAUCGCAAUCCUCGUCCUUAUCCCGCACCCAAGGAAAGUUUUUUUUUAUUAUCAUUUCAAGGAGGUAGGGCAAGGGCAAACUACACUAGAGGGGAAAAAAACCCACUUGCUACUACAAAAAAAGGGGUAGAAAUUAUGCCCAAAACGAGUGGUCAGGUUUGGACAAAGAGGUGUUUUGAUUCGGUGUGUGUGUGUGUGUGUGUGUGUGUGUGUGUGUGUGUGUGUGUGUGUGUGUGUGUGUGUGUGUGUGUGUAUAGGCGAGGGGAAGGGAGAAAGUAAGACCAGAGACAGCAGAGCGACAGGCUGGGGGUGAGAGGAGGGGGGGAGGGGUAAUUGUAGUUGCAGGGCCGUUGAGAGGGAUGGGCGGAAAAAAAAGAAAAAAAGUUUGAGGUGAAGGGAAUAAAUAGUAAGGUAGAGGUCGGGCAAACUAGUUCCUCGACCCUAGCUCCAAUACCUUUCCCUUUCUAACCACAAGAGAGACCGUCCAGCCCCUCUAGCCCAGUGCCUCCCUAACCUGCAUAGCUACAAAGAAAUAAUAAUUCCUUCCUCUGAAUUCAUAUCUUAAUUCUGCCUGAUAGCAUGAACUGAAAAGAAUGAACGAGGGAAAGAAGGAAAAAGGUGGUUGUGGUAGUAGUAGUAGUAGUAGUAGUAGUAGUAGUAGUAAAUGUAGUAAUAGUAGCAGUAGUAGUAGAAGAAGAAGAAGAAAAGUAGAGGAUGAUUUUUCAAGAAAGGUCAUAAAAUUAUAUAAAAGGGUUUUAAGUAUCUCAAACCUGUCAGUCACGGUGCCUUAUAUAGA